rnacentral:lncRNA from 1 species
AUUGUUGGAGUUUCGAGAGUAUUGUUAAGUGUUGAUUGUUAUUUGUUAUAGAAGUUGAUGUUGAUUGUUGUAUUAUUUGAACAGCAACACAGCCACAACCACAACCCACAGGUCACUGUUAAUUGGUAAGUUGCAAGUUAAAUGUUGUUGAAAUUUGAAGGCAAAAGACAAACUGUAUGGCAUAGAUUGUUGGAGUUUGGAGAGUUGUUGAGUGUUGAUUGUUAUAGAAGUUUGUUGAUUGUUGUAUUAUUUGAACCGCAACCUGCAACACAGCCACAACCCACAUGACACUAUUAAUUAAAUUUGGUUAAACCGAAAACCAAACCGAAAUAAACCAAACCGAAAUUGUAAUAACCGAACCGAACUGAAUUUAUUUCAGUUUGGUUUGGUUUCAUAUUUUUGCCAACCGAAAACCGAAAAACCAAGGUUUUUCGGUUCGGUUUUCGGUUUUUGGCUAAAACAAUUCGGUUAACCGAAAAACCGAAAUUAUACAUAUAUUCUUUACACCUCUUAAUUAAAUUACUUCAGUAGCCCAUGCCCAGCCGGCCCAUUUUCAAAAUUAGGCCCAAAUUUCAAUAGAAAUCCCUAAACUGAUAACCUGAAAUCCCUAACACAAUACAAAUCACAGUAAGCUCUCAUCUCUCAACUCUCGUCACUCGUCAGUCGUCUCUCAGUUACGACUUACACCGCUGCUCGUUUCUCAACUCUCGUCUCUCGUCUCUCGUCUCUCGUCUCUCGUCUCUCGUCUCUCGUCUCUCGUCUCUCGUCUCUCGUCUCUCGUCUCUCGUCUCUCGUCUCUCGUCUCUCGUCUCUCGUCUCUCGUCUCUCGUCUCUCGUCUCUCGUCUCUCGUCUCUCGUCUCUCGUCUCUCGUCUCUCGUCUCUCGUCUCUCGUCUCUCGUCUCUCGUCUCUCGUCUCUCGUCUCUCGUCUCUCGUCCGUCAUCUCUAAAGUCUUAGGCCAGCCGCUACUCCUUGGCUCCUCGCUGAGUGCUCGCAGGUCGCAGCCCGCCACUGCUCAGUGCUCGCGACUCGAAGGUUAAUGCUUCUAUAUAGAGAAUAUCAACUAGGUGAGUUUGGAGAGCAAAAGCAAAAUUGUAUGGCAUAGAUUGUUGGAGUUUGGAGAGUUGUUGAGUGUUGAUUGUUAUAGAAGUUUGUUGAUUGUUGUAUUAUUUGAACCGCAACCUGCAACACAGCCACAACCCACAUGACACUAUUAAUUAAAUUUGGUUAAACCGAAAACCAAACCGAAAUAAACCAAACCGAAAUUGUAAUAACCGAACCGAACUGAAUUUAUUUCAGUUUGGUUUGGUUUCAUAUUUUUGCCAACCGAAAACCGAAAAACCAAACCGAAAUUUACAAACUGAACCGAACCGACCGAACGCCCAGCCCUAACCCCAACAAUGGAGGAUUUCUCUGAUUUCAUUGAAGAUAUGGAGCUGAUGGUGGACUUUCAGCUGGUGGUGGUGGUGUGCGAUUAUACUUGGAUUAAAGGAGAUAAGACUAAUGCUGCUUCCAGAAUUGACAGAAUUCUUGUAUCCAAAGAGUGGGAUGACAGCUUCAGGAAAAUCAAAUAGGUUAGGCGGCAGAGAUUUGUUUCUUAUCACCAUCCAGUGGCAUUACAAUGUGGUGAAUGGGAACAAACCAAAUCAUAUUUCAAAUUUGACAACUGGUGGCUGAACACAAAUGGUUUUGUGGAUAGAGUUAGAGGUUGGUAGGAAUCUUUUGAUUUUACUGGAAAGCCUGAUCAUAUCCUAGCAUGCAAACUGAAAGCUUUAAUAGACAAGCUAAAAGAAUGGAGCAGGUCCACCCUAGGUGCAAUCUGGGAAUUCAAAAUACUCAGAUUUUGGGACAAAUGGCUAACCUAGAUGCAGUUCUGGAGACUAGACAGUUAACUGAAGAGAGGAGCCUAUGUUGAAGGCAACUCUGCUGAUGGAUUAUGAGGAACACCUUAAAAAUGAAGAAAACAUCUUGGAGACAAAGAUCUAGGGCUCUUUGGCUUAAAGAGGGGGAUAGGAAUACCAGCUUCUUCCACAAAAUGGCCAAUGCACAUAAGAGAAGCAAUAAUAUUGACCAGUUAGUGAUUUAGAAUACCACUAUAGUUGAACCAGAGAGAAUUAAGGGGUAGAUCACUAAUUUCUAUCAAAAGUUAUAUUCUGAGACUCUUGACAACAGACAUGCAAGCAGCCUGAUUAACUGUCUAGUGAUUACUGAAGCUGAGAGAAAAUCUCUUCAAGGGGAAUAAAUGGAACAAGAAGUUUUCUCGUGUUUGAAGUUGUCUGCCAUGGAUAAAGCACCUGGUUCAGCUUUCAUUC